UUGCCCCAGUAACGGCGAGUGAAGCGGCAACAGCUCAGAUUUGGAAUCUGGCCCCCCCCCGGGGGGUCCGAGUUGUAAUCUGGAGAGGAUGCUUCUGGCGCGGCGCCCGGCGAGUUCCCUGGAACGGGACGCCAGAGAGGGUGAGAGCCCCGUACGGCGGGACGCCGCGCCUCUGCGAAGCUCCUUCGACGAGUCGAGUAGUUUGGGAAUGCUGCUCCAAACGGGAGGUAAAUUUCUCCUAAAGCUAAAUACCGGCCGGAGACCGAUAGCGCACAAGUAGAGUGAUCGAAAGAUGAAAAGCACUUUGAAAAGAGGGUCAAACAGUACGUGAAAUUGUUGAAAGGGAAGCGCCCGUGGCCAGACUCGCGCCCCGCGGACCACCCGGCGGACUCCGCCGGGGCACGCCGCGGGGCGCGGGCCAGCAUCGGCCCCCGCAGGGGGACAAGGGCGGCGGGAACGUGGCUCCUCUGGGAGUGUUACAGCCCGCCGCGCCAUGCCCCUGGGGGGGCCGAGGACCGCGCUUCGGCAAGGAUGCUGGCGUAAUGGCCACCGGCGACCCGUCUUGAAACACGGACCAAGGAGUCAAGCAUUGGGGCGAGUGUCCGGGUGGCAAACCCGCACGCGCAAUGAAAGUGAACGUAGGUGGGAGCUUCGGCGCACCACCGACCGAUCCUGAUGUCCUCGGAUGGAUUUGAGUAAGAGCCCCACCGCUUGGACCCGAAAGAUGGUGAACUAUGCCUGAAUAGGGUGAAGCCAGAGGAAACUCUGGUGGAGGCUCGCAGCGGUUCUGACGUGCAAAUCGAUCGUCAAAUUUGGGCAUGGNGGGCGAAGACUAAUCGAACCAUCUAGUAGCUGG
rnacentral:rRNA from 1 species